AACACAACCCAGCCACAAGUCACACUCACACCGACUCACCAACCACUCCACUCCACUCCACAUCCAAAAUGGCUGCCGUGACGUUCGAAGAGGAGGUCUCCAGGCUGGCUGCCCGCGUAGCGGCCAGCUCGCCGGCGCUGGUGAGGGUGGCCGUGGGGGCACUGGCACGCAGCGGCAGCGCGAUGCCCUGUUCCGCCUCUUCGUGGGCACGAUCUGCGUGUUCGUCGCCGCAACAGUCCCCUACGUCGUUGCAUUCCGAGCCUGCACCGGGAAAUGCACCGUCGCCUCGGUGCUUUGGGAGAUCUUGCAAUAUUCCGGUAUGCUCUCCAUGCUUCUCAUGACGCCAGCGACGGCACUCUUCUUCCUUCGCGCCGCCGGCAGCGAGGUCAAGGAUGAUGUGGAAGAUCGCGUUCGUUGGUGGCCGCUACUCUGGUGGGCGGCUGUAGCGUUGUUCAGUGUGGCGAUGUUGGCGCAACUCAUCGGGGUCGUUCUUCAAAUGUAUGGAUUUCCAGAGGUUUCUUACCUUCUCCGCACCGCGGCUCUGUUGGGCAUGCUCCUACUCGUCACCUUCUUCUGCAUCCGUGCUAAUGUGGCGCUGUGGAGGAUGAAUCCACAAGAGCCGGCUGCAGUUGUUGUCGCAGUAGCUAGAUUGAUGUGUAUAGAGUAGUAAUCUAUCUAAUACUCCCUCUAGUGUUAAAAAACACCUUACAUUAUAGAACGGAGGGAGUAAUAACCAAUAACUACUCCCCUCUCUGUAUCAAAAUAUAAGUGGUUUUUUCACACUCUGAUAUUGUCAAAAAGCGUCUUGUAUUUUGAUACGGAGGGAGUAGUAGGCUUGGCUCAAUCUUCAACGCUAGUGCUGCUGUGCUGAUGCAGUCAGUCAGUAUGGUUGUUGUUGGUUAGUUACUAAAGUACUGGAGUAAUCUAUCUAACACAGGUCCCUUGUUUACCUGUGGCCAUAUGCGCUGUGAAUGUGAUGAAGAGCUUCCAUUCUAUGUAAUCAUGUACUGGAAGCCACAGUGCAUUCCAUUCUAUGUAAUCAGGUCCCAUAUUUCACUGCCUAUAUGGCAUGACGUGUGCUCUCAUGAAGAGCUUCCAUUUUAUGUAAUCUUUAGCAUUUCAUUGC